UUUUGUUUGGAGAGUUUGAUCCUGGCUCAGGACGAACGCUGGCGGCGUGCUUAACACAUGCAAGUCGAACGGAAAGGUCUCUUCGGAGAUACUCGAGUGGCGAACGGGUGAGUAACACGUGGGUGAUCUGCCCUGCACUUCGGGAUAAGCCUGGGAAACUGGGUCUAAUACCGGAUAGGACCACGGGAUGCAUGUCUUGUGGUGGAAAGCGCUUUAGCGGUGUGGGAUGAGCCCGCGGCCUAUCAGCUUGUUGGUGGGGUGACGGCCUACCAAGGCGACGACGGGUAGCCGGCCUGAGAGGGUGUCCGGCCACACUGGGACUGAGAUACGGCCCAGACUCCUACGGGAGGCAGCAGUGGGGAAUAUUGCACAAUGGGCGCAAGCCUGAUGCAGCGACGCCGCGUGGGGGAUGACGGCCUUCGGGUUGUAAACCUCUUUCACCAUCGACGAAGGUCCGGGUUCUCUCGGAUUGACGGUAGGUGGAGAAGAAGCACCGGCCAACUACGUGCCAGCAGCCGCGGUAAUACGUAGGGUGCGAGCGUUGUCCGGAAUUACUGGGCGUAAAGAGCUCGUAGGUGGUUUGUCGCGUUGUUCGUGAAAUCUCACGGCUUAACUGUGAGCGUGCGGGCGAUACGGGCAGACUAGAGUACUGCAGGGGAGACUGGAAUUCCUGGUGUAGCGGUGGAAUGCGCAGAUAUCAGGAGGAACACCGGUGGCGAAGGCGGGUCUCUGGGCAGUAACUGACGCUGAGGAGCGAAAGCGUGGGGAGCGAACAGGAUUAGAUACCCUGGUAGUCCACGCCGUAAACGGUGGGUACUAGGUGUGGG
rnacentral:rRNA from 1 species